UACGGAGGGUGCGAGCGUUGUCCGGAAUCACUGGGCGUAAAGGGCGCGUAGGCGGCUCAUGAAGGCUGUGGUGAAAGUCCGGGGCUCAACCUCGGAUCGGCCGUGGCGACUCGUGGGCUGGAGCACUGUAGAGGCGGGUGGAAUUCCGGGUGUAGCGGUGGAAUGCGUAGAGAUCCGGAAGAACACCGGUGGCGGAGGCGGCUAUCUGGACUGUGAUUGACGCUGAGGCGCGAAAGCGUGGGGAGCAAACAGG
rnacentral:rRNA from 1 species